rnacentral:lncRNA from 1 species
CACCCCUACUUAAGGAUUAAGUAUUGAGGAGGAUGGCCUAUGACAGACAUGUACUAGCAAAUGACAAAUCAGAAACAACUGACAGACCCCUGGGCUGUCCUAAGUCAAGCUUAAGCUACCAUUGGUACAUGUGAGAUGCAGGAAAGUGAUGUAAAAAACAGUCUAUAUAUUUCAAGUCACUUCCUCUCUCCAGCCUCUUUUCGCCGGAGAGGUGGUUCUGGCGGCAGCGUGCUGAGUGUCUUGGCAUCUUGGUGUGGCAGAAGCUAUUAUCCGGGUUUGGUGGAAUUUUAG